AUUGUAAACAUGCUAAUUGUGUAAAUUAUUUUCCUAAUCGUCAGUCGUAACAGAAUCUGAUAACAAACCUGUGAGUUAUCGGAAUUCAGAAGGAAGAAAGUAUAAAAGGAUUUGACGGCGAGGGGUUGCGUACUGGUGCCGCGGCCGGAGUCCCGAAUUCCGAUGGCCAACAACAACAAUCAACCGACGCCUCCACCUCCGCCGCCACCGUACCUUCCCUACCGCCAGAAAAAAGUUCUCACCGGCCACACACGCGCCGUCUCUUGCGUGAAGUUCUCCAAUAAUGGCCAACUUUUCGCCUCCGCCUCCUUGGACAAAACCCUAAUCGUCUGGUCCACGCAAACCCUAACCCAGUUAUCACGUCUCGUCGGCCAUUCCGAAGGCGUCUCCGACCUAGCAUGGUCGUCUGAUUCCAGUUACAUUUGUUCCGCCUCCGACGACCGCACGCUCCGUAUAUGGGAUGCACGCGCCGCCGAGUCUGUCAAAACUCUCCGGGGACAUACUGGCUUUGUCUUCUGCGUCAAUUUCAAUCCUCAGUCCAAUCUCAUAGUUUCGGGUUCGUUUGAUGAGACUAUUCGGGUCUGGGAUGUGAAAACGGGCAAGCCCAACCACGUGAUUCGUGCCCAUUCGAUGCCGGUGACUUCGGUUCAUUUCAAUAAAGAUGGGUCCUUGAUUGUUUCGGGUAGUCAUGAUGGGUCUUGUAAGAUAUUGGAUACGGCUUCUGGGAAUUGCCUAAAGACCCUUAUUGAUGAUAAGGUUCCAGCGGUUUCCUUCGCCAAGUUUUCACCUAAUGGCAAGUUUAUUCUUGUUGCCACCCUUGAUAAUACUCUUAAGUUAUGGAACUAUUCUACUGGAAAAUUCAUAAAAAGUUAUGCAGGCCAUGUGAACAGAGUGUACUGCAUAACUUCCACAUUUUCUGUUACGAACGGAAAGUAUAUUGUGAGUGGCUCAGAGGAUCAAUGUGUCUACAUAUGGGACUUGCAAGGGAAAAAUUUGCUCCAGAAAUUUGAAGGACAUACUGAUACCGUCAUUUCAGUGACUUGCCACCCCAUAGAAAAUAUGAUUGUCUCAGCUGGACUAGAUAAUGACAGGACAGUGAGAGUUUGGGUCCAAGACUAAUGGAUGUCCUCAACUGUGUAUCUAGGCAGCGUUCAAAUUCAAAGUGGUCCUUUAUCUGGUAGAUUGAGUUGAAUGUAAUGGAAAGAGUCAUCCAUUUCGGUUGCGCUCUUAUUCUUCUAUGUUUUUGCCCAAGGACGUUCCCUUGACAGAUCGCAGUGAGUCCUAUGUGUUUAUGAAUAGUGCAGUUAUCUCCAUAUUCUGGAAGUUGAUGCCAGAAGAUUUUGUGUUAUCAAAUUACAAAAAACUGGCUACUGUAUUUUCUUUUUUAAUUAUAUGUGAGAAACUAGAUGGUGCCAUUCCUCCAGAAUACUGAGGAGAAGCAUUUAUUUAAUGUAGAGAAGUUAAAAUAUAUGAAUAGAAUAUGUUGUUUCAUUCA